rnacentral:rRNA from 1 species
AUACGGGGGGUGCAAGCGUUAAUCGGAAUUACUGGGCGUAAAGCGCGCGUAGGCGGUUUGCUCAGUCGGAUGUGAAAGCCCAGGGCUCAACCUUGGAACUGCAUACGAUACUGGCAAACUAGAGUGUGAGAGAGGAUAGUGGAAUUUCCGGUGUAGCGGUGAAAUGCGUAGAUAUCGGAAGGAACAUCAGUGGCGAAGGCGACUGUCUGGCUCAACACUGACGCUGAGGUGCGAAAGCGAGGGUAGCAAACAGGAUUAGAAACCCUAGUAGUCC